GAUGAACGCUAGCGAUAGGCUUAACACAUGCAAGUCGAGAGGUAACAUGGGAGUAGCUUGCUACUUCUGAUGACGACCGGCGGAUGGGUGAGUAACGCGUAUGCAACUUGCCUCUUAGUGGGGAAUAACCCGGAGAAAUCCGGACUAAUACCGCAUACGCUUAGUUAUCCGCAUGGAUGAUUAAGGAAGGAUUUAUUGCUAAGAGAUAGGCAUGCGUUCCAUUAGUCAGUUGGUGAGGUAACGGCUCACCAAGGCAUCGAUGGAUAGGGGAGCUGAGAGGCUUAUCCCCCACAUUGGGACUGAGACACGGCCCAA
rnacentral:rRNA from 1 species